CUGGAUGUUUAUGAGGCAUGCAGAGAAAUGGAACGAGGAUGAAGAACAGGCAGCAGAACAGCAGGGAAACUGGAACAUGUCAUGGGCGGAGCCAAUGAAGAAAGGAACAAAGGAAUGGAGACAAAUGAACACUAGUGGGGCUAAACAAAGGAAAAUGCCUGAAGCUCCAAAAAACAGGAAGGAAAAAUUGGAGAAGGAAAAUCCAAAUGCACUAACAGAAGCUUUAUCCUGACCAUGGUAGGGGAGUUUAGAUCCCGCUUUACAUACUCCGACAUAGAGGACCCUCAUUGAAGAUCUGCAGUCUGAUUAAUUACUUCUUUAACUGGCUCUGCGUCAGGGGCCACCAGAAUGUCGACUUAGGACAGGCUUGAUUUAAGCUCUAGCAGCAUUUUACCCACAUUGCCAAGAGGAAGGUCAGCACAAUGGAGUCCACAGAGAGCAGGAGCAGAAGGGCACGGGACUUACAUGUAACACUACAUGAUAGAUGCAGAGGAGGAUUCAACAAUCCUAUAGGGAGAAAAAAGAUCAGCCUCAAAGCUACACAUAAAUAAAAAUAUAUUAUUUACAGAGGCAUAAAUGUAAAGUUAUCAACGUUUAAUUUUUUUUUUAUUUAAAGGUAAUUUGUCAGUAAGAAGUUUACAUGAGCUCAUCGUUGGUUGUUUGAUGCAACAUAUAC